rnacentral:rRNA from 1 species
UACGGAGGUGGCAAGCGUUGUUCGGAAUUACUGGGCGUAAAGCGCGUGUAGGCUGUUCUGCAAGUCGGGUGUGAAAGCCCCGGGCUCAACCUGGGAAGUGCACUCGAAACUGCAGAACUUGAGUCCUGGAGAGGAAGGCGGAAUUCUCGGUGUAGAGGUGAAAUUCGUAGAUAUCGAGAGGAACACCGGUGGCGAAGGCGGCCUUCUGGACAGUGACUGACGCUGAGACGCGAAAGCGUGGGGAGCAAACAGG